GACAUUAACACAGUAAGAAAAGGUAAAUGAGCAGAAGCUCUGCCUUCACCCUUAACAGCUGUGAAUAAGAAACUGACCUCACAAUAAAGAGAAAGGCUCAUCACAGUCUCAUCAGCUUGGGAUUUUUGUAAUGAACAAGUUAGCGGUCUGUAUUUUUUUAAUGUCAUCUUUUAUUUGUGUGAAAUAUACCUAAUUCAUUUGGAGUAAGAUGGGGUAGGAAAUGGUAUUCAGUCACCAUAUGAUUCUCUUCCUGCUUUCUAGAUUGGCCAGUGAUGAUGAAAGGUGAUCAAUAUUUCAGCCUUGCCCCUUUAUUUGACACAGUUCUUGAAUUUCCAUCGUGCCUUAAGUGCACAAGAUCAUAUUCCAGUUUGUAAUCACAGACUAGGCAGUGGAAAGAACAUGCCUAUAUACAGUUGCAGUGAAGGCAAAAUAUCUGUCAUAGGAAUGAAUAUCUUGUAUGCAAGGCAAUUGCAUUUAAUUUUUAAGUUCAUCUUUACAGUACAUUUAUUUUUAGAGUAUGUGACAAUGUUUCUAUUACUGUUUUUUGUUUUGUAUUAGUUUAUCAUUAAUCUAUAAAACCCUGUAGUUAAAUGAUGUUUUAUAGGCUGUCACAGAAGUUUUGGUAAAGUGAUUGUUUCAUGCAUCCUUUCAGAAGAACAUGCCAGAGGAGAGUAAAACCCUUUAACCACAGAGUAUAUUCAUAAUUGAUCCUCUUACAGCAAUAGAAAUAUAAUGGUAAGUCAUACAAUAUCUUACAUUUGCUGGAACAUCCCACAGGAAUGUUGGCAACACACAAGGCAGCCCAGAGGCUAUGAGUAGAAGAAAGAAGUUGUAGAACUGAUAUGAACAAAAUUACAAGGAUGCAAAAAAACCCCCAGCUUUUGGACACAAAUGUGAAAGACAGUACUCAAUGGUGUUGUUGUCUCAUUGCCUGAUGGCCACAGGUUGUUGAAAACUGCCUGACUGAAAACAUGCUGAAAAAGCAUCACAUGAUAUUUGAGCUCUCACUCUGGAAUCUCAGCCAGAGGCAGCAGGAAGGGCUCACUGCUCUCCAGCCACAUCAGCGCUCGACAGCAGGCGAGAUGCAGGGCACUGAGUGCUGGAGACACUCAGGGGUCACACACAGACUCCUCCUGCCUCAGAACACCAACACAUCUCUUUCCACUCGGUUGACAGAGCCAGCACUCACUGUCACAGCACAGACCAGCCCAGCAGCUACAGCCAGGACCUUUGGCUGCCAAGUGUCCUUCCCUAAAUCCAUCUUGUGGGCCAAAGGCAAAGGACGUGUUGCAAUGGACAGCACUAUCAGACUUGGAUCAAUGACCAUCAGCCUUAUUCUCCCCCUCCUAUAAGUGAAGGCACAUUCAUCUACCUGGUGUCUUCCUUUACAAUCAGUGCUCACAAUGGGAUAAAGCAGGAAACACUUCCUGAACAUCCAGCUUCUUGGUCCUACAUCCAGCUUCUUCCUUGCAGGGCUCAGACAAGUUUGCAUAGAUGCUCACUCCUUUUUUAAGAAAAUUAUUCCAAAAGAGCUGCAGUUCUCACACAUCUGUUGCCCUCUGGUAGACAUGCUGAGUUUCUAUGACACUUAACAGAAAUAUCAUGCAGGUAACUGAAUUAUUUCUAAGUGUCUUUCCAUUCAUUAGGAGUUACACUAAAACAGCUACAGAUGUUGCAAACAAGGCAAACACUGAUUUCAUUGAACCCAAUACUUCAGUCAUGGGACUGCUUAAAUGAAAGUACAUGGACUAAACAGGGAAAGUGCCAAAAAGAGAAAAAAGAGAAAAAAAAGAAAAAGCUUAUCUUACAGCAUGUCAUGAAAUCAUGUUCUCCAAUUUCUUUAGGUUCAGGCCUUCAUGAUCCUUAUUUUCACUUAUUUCUCAUUUUGCAAUAGAGGCAUUUUUACAAGUUGUAAAAAUCUUUCAGAGCAUGCUCCAACAAUAAAACCAAUGUGCAUGGAUGAAAGCAGUGAGACCUCAGAAGUUUGAAUCCCCAAGAGUGUCAGGAUCAUCAUCACACCUGAUGUUUUCAUAAGGUGAAGGACACAUCAAUCCAGAUGCAAUCAAAGACUGAUGUAACAUAUGUUAAUUCAACUCAGCUUAUUAACAAUCCUCUCCAAACAAUCUCCGAGGAGGCAUUCAUGAAAGCUGUUUCUGUACAGUGAGACUUUGUCACACGUUAUUAAACAUCACUAAAAAUGGUCUCCUGUGAU